rnacentral:rRNA from 1 species
GGAGGGUGCGAGCGUUAAUCGGAAUUACUGGGCGUAAAGCGCGCGUAGGCGGCUUGGUCAGUCGGAUGUGAAAGCCCCGGGCUUAACCUGGGAAUUGCAUCCGAUACUGCCAGACUAGAGUAUGGGAGAGGGAAGCGGAAUUUCCGGUGUAGCGGUGAAAUGCGUAGAUAUCGGAAGGAACACCAGUGGCGAAGGCGGCUUCCUGGCCCAAUACUGACGCUGAGGUGCGAAAGCGUGGGGAGCGAACAGGGAUUAGAUACCCUGGUAGUCCACGCCGUAAACGAUGAGAACUAGAUGUCGGGAGGAUUUGCCUCUCGGUGUCGCAGCUAACGCGUUAAGUUCUCCGCCUGGGGAGUACGCCGGCAACGGUA